rnacentral:rRNA from 1 species
UAGAGUUUGAUCAUGGCUCAGAUUGAACGCUGUCGGCAUGCUUUACACAUGCAAGUCGAACGGCAGCGGGGGCUUCGGCCUGCCGGCGAGUGGCGAACGGGUGAGUAAUGCAUCGGAACGUGCCCAUGUCGUGGGGGAUAACGUAGCGAAAGCUACGCUAAUACCGCAUACGCCCUGAGGGGGAAAGCGGGGGAUUCUUCGGAACCUCACGCGAUUGGAGCGGCCGAUGUCGGAUUAGCUAGUAGGUGAGGUAAAGGCUCACCUACGCGACGAUCCGUAUCGGGUCUGAGAGGAUGAUCCGCCACACUGGGACUGAGACACGGCCCAGACUCCUACUGGAGGCAGCAGUGGGGAAUUUUGGACAAUGGGCGCAAGCCUGAUCCAGCCAUGCCGCGUGAGUGAAGAAGGCCUUCGGGUUGUAAAGCUCUUUCGGCCGGGAAGAAAUCGUGGUCUCUAACAUACGCCAUGGAUGACGGUACCGGACUAAGAAGCACCGGCUAACUACGUGCCAGCAGCCGCGGUAAUACGUAAGGUGCGAGCGUUAAUCGGAAUUACUGGGCGUAAAGCGUGCGCAGGCGGUUUGGUAAGUCAGAUGUGAAAUCCCCGGGCUCAACCUGGGAACUGCAUUUGAGACUGCCAAGCUGGAGUUUGGCAGAGGGGGGUGGAAUUCCACGUGUAGCAGUGAAAUGCGUAGAGAUGUGGAGGAACACCGAUGGCGAAAGCAGCCCCCUGACGCAAUACUGACGCUCAUGCACGAAAGCGUGGGGAGCAAACAGGAUUAGAUACCCUGGUAGUCCACGCCCUAAACGAUGUCAACUAGGUGUUGGGAGGGUUAAACCUUUUAGUGCAGUAGUUAACGCGUGAAGUUGACCGCCUGGGGAGUACGAGCCGCAAGGCUAAAACUCAAAGGAAUUGACGGGGACCCGCACAAGCGGUGGAUGAUGUGGAUUAAUUCGAUGCAACGCGAAAAACCUUACCUACCCUUGACAUGUCAGGAAUCCUGGAGAGAUCUGGGAGUGCUCGCAAGAGAACCUGAACACAGGUGGUGCAUGGCUGUCGUCAGCUAGUGUCGUGAGAUGUUGGGUUAAGUCCCGCAACGAGCGCAACCCUUGUCAUUAAUUGCCAUCAUUCAGUUGGGCACUUUAAUGAGACUGCCGGUGACAAACCGGAGGAAGGUGGGGAUGACGUCAAGUCCUCAUGGCCCUUAUGGGUAGGGCUUCACACGUCAUACAAUGGUCGGUUCAGAGGGUUGCCAACCCGCGAGGGGGAGCCAAUCUCAGAAAGCCGAUCGUAGUCCGGAUCGCAGUCUGCAAUUCGAAUGUGUGAAGUCGGAAUCGCUAGUAAUCGCGGAUCAGCAUGUCGCGGUGAAUACGUUCCCGGGUCUUGUACACACCGCCCGUCACACCAUGGGAGCGGGUUAUGCCAGAAGUAGUUAGCCUAACCGCAAGGAGGGCGAUUACCACGGCAGGGUUCGUGACUGGGGUGAAGUGGUAACAAGGUAGC